rnacentral:rRNA from 1 species
GAUGAACGCUAGCGGGAGGCUUAACACAUGCAAGUCGAGGGGCAUCACGAGGUAGCAAUACUUUGGUGGCGACCGGCGCACGGGUGAGUAACACGUAUGCAACCUACCCUGUACAGGGGGAUAGCCCGGAGAAAUUCGGAUUAAUACCCCAUAAAGAUAUUGAGAGGCAUCUUUUAAUAUUUAAAGUUUCGGCGGUACGGGAUGGGCAUGCGCAACAUUAGCUAGUUGGUAGGGUAACGGCCUACCAAGGCUACGAUGUUUAGGGGACCUGAGAGGGUGAUCCCCCACACUGGUACUGAGACACGGACCAGACUCCUACGGGAGCAG